rnacentral:lncRNA from 1 species
UUUCCUAACAGAUGGAUAAGCUCAAACUAAAUAUCAACUUAAAAACCAUUCUAACAAGAUAAAAAUAUGAUAACAAAAUCUCAACCUAUCCUAAUAGAAUAAAAAUCUCAUAAGAUCUCAACCUAUCCUAACAAAAUAAUUAAAUCUCAACUUAUCCAAAGAAACAAAUUUUUAAAUAAAAUCACAUAAUCUUAGAUACUUCUAGAAACUAAUGGGUGCUACUCAAUCCGAACCCAAUCCGGAUCUCAAGUUACAUUUGCGGUGUCGACGGCGCUCGUACACUCGAAAGGUGACCCGAUCCGCAUCAACUUUCCCCGCCUUC